rnacentral:sRNA from 1 species
GAAAUGGCGGGCUUUAAGCAAAGUAUCGCUAUUCUUGGUUUGCUGCUUCCAUGUGUAGUUUCAAAUUUUAUUAAUCUAUACCCAGAAGAAAUCUUGCCAGGUAUAACGCCAAAACUUACAAUCAACUGUUCGCUAACACACAAAAGCGUUCCAUACCUCACCGUGAUUAACUCUUUAACUCUAUCGCGUUACAAUGUAACGAACCAUGAGUUUGAUGCUGUUCUUUCACUGGACACUAGAACGUUGUCUGUCCAACAUUUUGUAGAACGACAAGAGGCAGAGAUUACUUCUGGUAGUCAGUUCCUAGCGUUGACCCUACACAACCCUACACAGAAUGAUGCAGAAAUCUACAGGUGUGAUGUAGACGGACAAAAUGCAUUAGGGAAAAAUCAAUCAUUUGUAGAGAAGAGUCAAGUAAGGUAUUAAAUAAUCUGACCACAUAUAUAGAAGAGAUGAAACGUCUAAGAAAAAUAGAAACAGAAUUCAUAAAUAUGAAAAGUAUAGAAACAUGUUCGCAAACGAAUAAUUCUAAACAAGAAAACUCAAGACUAAAUUUUAGUGGAAAUUCAAAAAUUGUCAAAGAAUAUAUCCAGCCGCUAUCGUUAAAAUGUUCAUUCCAGGU